rnacentral:rRNA from 1 species
CCUACGGGUGGCAGCAGUGGGGAAUAUUGGGCAAUGGACGCAACUCUGAUCCAGCAACGCCGCGUGAAUGAAGAAGGCUUUCGGGUUGUAAAGCUCUAUCAAGGGGGAAGAGCAGAAGACGGUACCCCUUGAAUAAGCCACGGCUAACUACGUGCCAGCAGCCGCGGUAAUACGUAGGUGGCAAGCGUUGUCCGGAUUUACUGGGUGUAAAGGGCGUGCAGCCGGAGAGGCAAGUCUGAUGUGAAAUCCACGGGCUCAACCCGGGAACUGCAUUGGAAACUGUUUCCCUUGAGUGUCGGAGAGGUAAGCGGAAUUCCUUGUGUAGCGGUGAAAUGCGUAGAUAUAAGGAGGAACACCAGUGGCGAAGGCGGAUUACUGGACGAUAACUGACGUUGAGGCGCGAAAGCGUGGGGAGCAAACAGGAUUAGAUACCCGGGUAGUC